rnacentral:misc_RNA from 1 species
UUGUCGAGACCCAGGGCGGUU